rnacentral:rRNA from 1 species
ACGAAGGGACCUAGCGUAGUUCGCAAUUACUGGGCUUAAAGAGUUCGUAGGUGGUUGAAAAAGUUGGUGGUGAAAUCCCAGAGCUUAACUCUGGAACUGCCAUCAAAACUUUUCAGCUAGAGUAUGAUAGAGGAAAGCAGAAUUUCUAGUGUAGAGGUGAAAUUCGUAGAUAUUAGAAAGAAUACCAAUUGCGAAGGCAGCUUUCUGGAUCAUUACUGACACUGAGGAACGAAAGCAUGGGUAGCGAAGAGGAUUAGAUACCCUCGUAGUCCAUGCCGUAAACGAUGUGUGUUAGACGUUGGAAAUUUAUUUUCAGUGUCGCAGGGAAACCGAUAAACACACCGCCUGGGGAGUACGACCGCAAGGUUAAAACUCAAAUGAAUUGACGGGGACCCGCACAAGUAGUGGAGCAUGUGGUUUAAUUCGAAGAUACGCGCAGAACCUUACCAACACUUGACAUGUUCGUCGCGACUCUAAGAGAUUAGAGUCUUCGGUUCGGCCGGACGAAACACAGGUGCUGCAUGGCUGUCGUCAGCUCGUGUCGUGAGAUGUUGGGUUAAGUCCCGCAACGAGCGCAACCCUCACUUUUAGUUGCCAUCAUUAAGUUGGGCACUCUGAAAGAACUGCCAGUGAUAAGCUGGAGGAAGGUGGGGAUGACGUCAAGUCCUCAUGGCCCUUACGUGUUGGGCUACACACGUGCUACAAUGGCAUCUACAACAGGAAGCAAAACGGCAACGUUAAGCAAAUCCCGAAAAGAUGCCUCAGUUCGGAUUGCACUCCGCAACUCGAGUGCAUGAAGCUGGAAUUACUAGUAAUCGUGGAUCAGCGUGCCACGGUGAAUGCGUUCCCGGGUCUUGUACACACCGCCCGUCACACCAUGGGAGUUGGUUCUACCUUAAGGCAAGGUUUUAAACCCUUGACCACGGUAUAGUCAGCGACUGGGGUGAAGUCGUAACAAGGUAGCCGUAGGGGAACCUGCGGCUGGAUUACCUCCUU